UAGAGUUUGAUCAUGGCUCAGAUUGAACGCUGGCGGCAGGCCUAACACAUGCAAGUCGAGCGGAUGACAGGAGCUUGCUCCUGAAUUCAGCGGCGGACGGGUGAGUAAUGCCUAGGAAUCUGCCUGGUAGUGGGGGACAACGUUUCGAAAGGAACGCUAAUACCGCAUACGUCCUACGGGAGAAAGCAGGGGACCUUCGGGCCUUGCGCUAUCAGAUGAGCCUAGGUCGGAUUAGCUAGUUGGUGAGGUAAUGGCUCACCAAGGCGACGAUCCGUAACUGGUCUGAGAGGAUGAUCAGUCACACUGGAACUGAGACACGGUCCAGACUCCUACGGGAGGCAGCAGUGGGGAAUAUUGGACAAUGGGCGAAAGCCUGAUCCAGCCAUGCCGCGUGUGUGAAGAAGGUCUUCGGAUUGUAAAGCACUUUAAGUUGGGAGGAAGGGCAUUAACCUAAUACGUUAGUGUUUUGACGUUACCGACAGAAUAAGCACCGGCUAACUCUGUGCCAGCAGCCGCGGUAAUACAGAGGGUGCAAGCGUUAAUCGGAAUUACUGGGCGUAAAGCGCGCGUAGGUGGUUUGUUAAGUUGGAUGUGAAAGCCCCGGGCUCAACCUGGGAACUGCAUUCAAAACUGACAAGCUAGAGUAUGGUAGAGGGUGGUGGAAUUUCCUGUGUAGCGGUGAAAUGCGUAGAUAUAGGAAGGAACACCAGUGGCGAAGGCGACCACCUGGACUGAUACUGACACUGAGGUGCGAAAGCGUAGGGAGCAAACAGGAUUAGAUACCCUGGUAGUCCACGCCGUAAACGAUGUCAACUAGCCGUUGGGAGCCUUGAGCUCUUAGUGGCGCAGCUAACGCAUUAAGUUGACCGCCUGGGGAGUACGGCCGCAAGGUUAAAACUCAAAUGAAUUGACGGGGGCCCGCACAAGCGGUGGAGCAUGUGGUUUAAUUCGAAGCAACGCGAAGAACCUUACCAGGCCUUGACAUCCAAUGAAUCUGCUAGAGAUAGCGGAGUGCCUUCGGGAACAUUGAGACAGGUGCUGCAUGGCUGUCGUCAGCUCGUGUCGUGAGAUGUUGGGUUAAGUCCCGUAACGAGCGCAACCCUUGUCCUUAGUUACCAGCACGUUAUGGUGGGCACUCUAAGGAGACUGCCGGUGACAAACCGGAGGAAGGUGGGGAUGACGUCAAGUCAUCAUGGCCCUUACGGCCUGGGCUACACACGUGCUACAAUGGUCGGUACAGAGGGUUGCCAAGCCGCGAGGUGGAGCUAAUCCCACAAAACCGAUCGUAGUCCGGAUCGCAGUCUGCAACUCGACUGCGUGAAGUCGGAAUCGCUAGUAAUCGCGAAUCAGAAUGUCGCGGUGAAUACGUUCCCGGGCCUUGUACACACCGCCCGUCACACCAUGGGAGUGGGUUGCACCAGAAGUAGCUAGUCUAACCUUCGGGAGGACGGUUACCACGGUGUGAUUCAUGACUGGGGUGAAGUCGUAACAAGGUAGCC
rnacentral:rRNA from 2 species